AUUGAACGCUGGCGGCAGGCUUAACACAUGCAAGUCGAACGAGUGGCGGACGGGUGAGUAAUGUCUGGGAAACUGCCUUAUGGAGGGGGAUAACUACUGGAAACGGUAGCUAAUACCGCAUACCAUCGGAUGUGCCCAGAUGGGAUUAGCUAGUUGGUGGGGUAACGGCUCACCUAGGCGACGAUCCCUAGCUGGUCUGAGAGGAUGACCAGCCACACGGGAACUGAGACACGGUCCCGACUCCUACGGGAGGCAGCAGUGGGGAAGAUUGCACAAUGGGGGCAAGCCUGAUGCAGCCAUGCCGCGUGUAUGAAGAAGGCCUUCGGGUUGUAAAGUACUUUCAGCGGGGAGGCGUUACCCGCAGAAGAAGCACCGGCUAACUCCGUGCCAGCAGCCGCGGUAAUUC
rnacentral:rRNA from 1 species